UCAGUAAGCAGCACUCCUCCAUGGCUUCUGCCUCAUCUCCUGCCUCCAGGUCUUGCCCUGCUUGAGUUCCUGUUCUGACUUCCUUCAGUGAUGAACCGUGACGUGGAAUUGUGCCAAAUAAAUCAAGUUGCUUUUGGUCAUGGCAUUUCAUCCCAGCAAUGGUAACCCUAACAAAGACAGGAUCCAUCUUCCCAGGUGGAUUUUCUUCUCCUUGUGUUAAAUCUAUCCAGCACACUGGGAGUUAGCUGGACCCAUCUGGCUCAGCACCAGCCUCUGCAGAGCCUGCCCUGGCACGGCCCACCUCACGCAGGACUCAAUGAGUAUUUCCAUUCAGCCUUCCCACAUCAGUGCCAGCCAGUUUGCAGAUGUUGUCAUUGAAUGGGUUCCCGGUCCCUGUGAUUUGAAGCAGCAGUUCCAUCAAGCUGCUACAGAAAGACUUUUUUUUUUUUUUUUUUUUUUUUAAGCUAACAAAACUAAACCCAUGGCUGUUCUUGAAGUGGACUCAUUUGGAAAUAAAAUCUCUCCACAAA
rnacentral:lncRNA from 1 species